rnacentral:rRNA from 1 species
CCUACGGGAGGCAGCAGUGGGGAAUAUUGGACAAUGGGGGCAACCCUGAUCCAGCCAUGCCGCGUGUGUGAAGAAGGCCCUCGGGUUGUAAAGCACUUUCAGUGAGGAAGAACGCCUGGUGGUUAAUACCCAUCAGGAAAGACAUCACUCACAGAAGAAGCACCGGCUAACUCCGUGCCAGCAGCCGCGGUAAUACGGAGGGUGCGAGCGUUAAUCGGAAUUACUGGGCGUAAAGCGCGCGUAGGUGGCUUGAUAAGCCGGUUGUGGAAGCCCCGGGCUCAACCUGGGAACGGCAUCCGGAACUGUCAAGCUAGAGUGCAGGAGAGGAAGGUAGAAUUCCCGGUGUAGCGGUGAAAUGCGUAGAGAUCGGGAGGAAUACCAGUGGCGAAGGCGGCCUUCUGGACUGACACUGACACUGAGGUGCGAAAGCGUGGGUAGCAAACAGGAUUAGAUACCCCUGUAGUC